rnacentral:misc_RNA from 1 species
CUACAACACCAUUUUCU